AACUUUCAACAAAGGAUCUCUUGGCUCUCGCAUCGAUGAAGAACGCUGCGAAGCGCGAAAUGUAGUGUGAAUCGCAGAACAUUGUGAAUCAUCGAAUCUUUGAACGCACAUUGCGCCUCCUGUAACAGGGAGGCAUGCCUGUCUGAGUCUCAUUU
rnacentral:rRNA from 1 species